UACGUAGGGGGCAAGCGUUGUCCGGAUUUAUUGGGCGUAAAAGGCUUGUAGGUGGCCACGCCAAGUCGGAUGUGAAAUCUCCCGGCUCAACUGGGAGGGGUCAUUCGAUACUGGCGGGCUCGAGGCCGGUAGGGGGAAGUGGAAUUCCCGGUGUAGUGGUGGAAUGCGUAGAUAUCGGGAGGAACACCGGUGGCGAAGGCGGCAUCCUGGACCAACACUGACACUGAGGAGCGAAAGCCAGGGGAGCAAACGGG
rnacentral:rRNA from 1 species